rnacentral:misc_RNA from 1 species
UACGAGAGCCCCAAGCGUUAUCCGGAAUCACUGGGCGUAAAGGGUCCGUAGGCGGCAAGUCUAGUCUUCUGUGAAAGCCUCCGGCUCAACCGGAGACCCGCAGAGGAAACGGGCUAGCUAGAGGGCGUGAGAGGUCUGCAGAACGCAUGGUGUAGGGGUGAAAUCCGUUGAUAUCAUGCGGAAUACCGAAAGCGAAGGCAGCAGACUGGCACGUUUCUGACGCUGAGGGACGAAAGCCAGGGUAGCGAAUGGG